UCUUGACGAGGAAACCACGCCAUGGCUGGGUUCACGUGACAAGCAACCCGGCCUGGUUUCCAUGGUACAUAUUCUUUUGGCCUGGAUGUGCCUACCAGACAAUUGAGUGCUUUCUGUGCCAGCGUGGUUUCGACUCCCCUCUCGCAAUCUUCCUGCUGUUGGCAUGUAUCCCAUCAGCCAUCGCCCCUGAACUUCUGCUCUUUUCAUGGGACCCUGGAAGGACUGUGGAAGCCAUGAUGCUGGAAUGAGACAACCAGAGAAGCAUGGCAGCCAUAGACUGCUGUUUCUUAUCGUGGUUUCUAAAAUCAAAUGCGCUGAGCUUGAAAUACUGUGACACGAUACGGAUGACCCAAAAAGCCUCCCCGUGCAAGAAACCACCACGGCUUGCUGUAUUGUGUGAACCAACCCGAUUACUAGGUCUUGCUUGAUUCAGGGAAAUUGCUAGCAGAGGCCUGCAAAUGACAGAUUUCCCAGGGCUUAAAGGGAACAUGGAACCAGCUUUGGCUAAUGGCUGUGUAGCCCUCCGACUCUCAUCUGUACCUGCCAGCAUAGUCAGAGUGUUCACAUGAACACCGGAGGAGGAUGCCUUUAAGAUAAGCCCCCUGCAGCAUGUGAGGAUUCUGGUUUUCAGGGCCGCUCCUCAUCUGACGAGUCUGAAUUGCCUAACCUUGGAAGGAGUGCCAAGAAUAACUACCUCUUUCAUUCCUAACAAUGGGGGCAGAGAAAUUCCUGAAGGGCUGCUGCUGAACAGAAACAUAGCGCGUCAGAAGGGGCCUCUCGGGCCAUCUAGUCUGACCCCCGGCUCCAGCCGG